AUGAGCUUCGCUCAACAGCAUAGCUCAUACCAAAACAAUUACUCAGAUGGGUGGCCUGAAAGCCUGGAUAUGUCAUAUAGGAGCAACAACCCUGAGAUCUCAUCGUUUGCCUCUAGUUAUCCAUUGCAGAGAUUUAGGUAUGAAGAGGAGAGCCACAACUAUGCUCCACAACAGAUUUAUUCAGCUCCUACUCAUAUACCUCAACACCAGGACAUGUUGCCAAUGGAGUUAAAUGGUCCUCCAUUUGGUCAACCAACAUCUUCAGCACAAGUGCCCACACAAGAUGACUUUGAUGAUAUAGACAAGCUCACAUUGCUUAGUCUCGAGUUCACUUGGAGUGCCGAAGAUGAUCCAAUUAGGCCGGUGAUACUAGAGGAAAUGAAGAAGAUUAAGAGUGGAAAGGAGCUAGUGGAAGAAGUAAGGAAGAUUGAGAAGAACAUCAACGCUGUCAGUACUAUCUCUUCCCUCCUUGAGCUGAGUGUUGCCGGGAUAUCCCUUGAGGUGUGUGAGGUUCCAACACCUUCACAUUCAGCUGAGCAAGAUAGCGAGGGUCCAGAGGAAGAGAUACUUCAGAUCCAAGAAGAAAUUCUCGAAGCCAAGGCACAAGAUGAUCCAAAGCUCGAACAACAAAGUGAUCAAGUUGAAGACUCAUCAUCUAUUAUUCUUGAAGAAGCAAAAGAAGUUGAUGUGAUUGAAGAUGAAGAACCAGAAACGCAUUUGCCCAUCGUCAUACAGGAGCGUGAUUUAGCAGGUUUAUCCAAUCCUCUUGAUGACAUGCUUCCUUAUGAGAUCUUUGCUGAUACUUUCCAUUGUGUUAUACCAUCAAUUAAGCUAGACUUGAAAAAUUUCAGGUUCUUGCUUGUGCAUGAUCCACUACAUGCUGACCAAGUUUGA
rnacentral:rRNA from 1 species